rnacentral:rRNA from 1 species
ACGAACGCUGGCGGCGUGCUUAACACAUGCAAGUCGAACGGAAAGGCCCCUUUGGGGGUACUCGAGUGGCGAACGGGUGAGUAACACGUGAGUAACCCGCCCUUGACUUCGGGAUAACUUCAGGAAACUGGGGCUAAUACCGGAUAGGAAUCCUUGCUGCAUGGUGGGGGGUGGAAAGCUUCGGCGGUUUUGGAUGGACUCGCGGCUUAUCAGCUUGUUGGUGGGGUAGUGGCUUACCAAGGCUUUGACGGGUAGCCGGCCUGAGAGGGCGACCGGCCACAUUGGGACUGAGAUACGGCCCAGACUCCUACGGGAGGCAGCAGUGGGGAAUAUUGCACAAUGGGCGGAAGCCUGAUGCAGCAACGCCGCGUGCGGGAUGACGGCCUUCGGGUUGUAAACCGCUUUCAGCAGGGGCGAAGCUUGUGGUGACGGUACCUGCAGAAGAAGCACCGGCUAACUACGUG